GAUGAACGCUGGCGGCGUGCUUAACACAUGCAAGUCGAGCGAUGAAGUUUCCUUCGGGAAACGGAUUAGCGGCGGACGGGUGAGUAACACGUGGGUAACCUGCCUCAUAGAGUGGAAUAGCCUUCCGAAAGGAAGAUUAAUACCGCAUAAUGUUGAAAGAUGGCAUCAUCAUUCAACCAAGGGAGCAAUCCGCUAUGAGAUGGACCCGCGGCGCAUUAGCUAGUUGGUGGGGUAACGGCCUACCAAGGCGACGAUGCGUAGCCGACCUGAGAGGGUGAUCGGCCACAUUGGGACUGAGACACGGCCCAGACUCCUACGGGAGGCAGCAGUGGGGAAUAUUGCACAAUGGGGGAAACCCUGAUGCAGCAACGCCGCGUGAGUGAUGAAGGUUUU
rnacentral:rRNA from 1 species